GACGAACGCUGGCGGCGUGCUUAACACAUGCAAGUCGAACGGUAAGGCCCUUUCGGGGGUACACGAGUGGCGAACGGGUGAGUAACACGUGGGUGAUCUGCCCUGCACUUUGGGAUAAGCCUGGGAAACUGGGUCUAAUUCCGGAUAGGACUACGCGAUGCAUGUCGUGUGGUGGAAAGCUUUUUCGGUGUGGGAUGGGCCCGCGGCCUAUCAGCUUGUUGGUGGGGUGAUGGCCUACCAAGGCGACGACGGGUAGCCGGCCUGAGAGGGUGACCGGCCACACUGGGACUGAGAUACGGCCCAGACUCCUACGGGAGGCAGCAGUGGGGAAUAUUGCACAAUGGGCGCAAGCCUGAUGCAGCGACGCCGCGUGGGGGAUGACGGCCUUCGGGUUGUAAACCCCUUUCAGCACAGACGAAGCGUAAGUGACGGUAUGUGCAGAAGAAGCACCGGCCAACUACGUG
rnacentral:rRNA from 1 species